GACGAACGCUGGCGGCGUGCUUAACACAUGCAAGUCGAACGGAAAGGCCCUGCUUUUGUGGGGUGCUCGAGUGGCGAACGGGUGAGUAACACGUGAGUAACCUGCCCUUGACUUUGGGAUAACUUCAGGAAACUGGGGCUAAUACCGGAUAGGAGCUCCUGCUGCAUGGUGGGGGUUGGAAAGUUUCGGCGGUUGGGGAUGGACUCGCGGCUUAUCAGCUUGUUGGUGGGGUAGUGGCUUACCAAGGCUUUGACGGGUAGCCGGCCGGAGAGGGUGACCGGCAGCAUUGGGAAUGAGAUACGGCCCAGACCCGUCGGGAUGGGAGCAUUGGGAAUUUUUUAAAAAGGAGCGGGGACCGAAUGGAGAACCGCCGGGAGAGGGAGGGCGGCCUUCGGGUUGAAAACCCCUUUCCCCUGUGACGAGGAGAGAGGAACGGAAAUGGGAAAAAGAGCAGCGGCAAGCUGGGG
rnacentral:rRNA from 1 species